rnacentral:rRNA from 1 species
UACGUAGGGUGCGAGCGUUGUCCGGAAUUAUUGGGCGUAAAGAGCUUGUAGGCGGUUUGUCGCGUCUGCCGUGAAAAUUCGAGGCUCAACCUCGAACUUGCGGUGGGUACGGGCAGACUAGAGUGUGGUAGGGGAGACUGGAAUUCCUGGUGUAGCGGUGAAAUGCGCAGAUAUCAGGAGGAACACCGAUGGCGAAGGCAGGUCGUCUGGGCCACUACUGACGCUGAGGAGCGAAAGCGUGGGGAGCGAACAGG